UGAAAAUCAGUAUAGAAAAUGACUUCAAAGGACACCUUGAAGAAUUUGAGGUUCAAUGAUUUUGAUAGAGAGAGAGAGAAUAUUAAGUUGGAUUUGAUACACAGCUCAGUCAUUCCUGAUCAAAUAAUCUCCAUCAUCAUCCUGCCAGAAACAACAGUAUCAAUCAGACAAAGAGACCCUAAACUAACAACCAUAUACCCAUAUUCAUUCCAUCAAGCAAAGAAACUUCCAAGGUGCUAACUUCAGAGAUCAUCCAAUGCUAAGACCUUGCUCCGACACCGCACAUUAUCUCAGUCUUUGAUGUACGAUACUGAUGUAAUGUAAUUAACACCGAAAGCUUCUCUUAUCAGUAAAAAGUUGAAAAAAUUCAAAACCUGAAAAGGACCCGCGAGUUUGCGUUCCUCCUGUUUUCAUCUUGUAGCAAACACCUAAAGUUACACCUCCAGUUUCCAGCCUUGAGGCGACGAUAUCACCAUCAGGAUUUCUCUAUGAACCACAAUCAAAUUCUGCAUAAAUCUUAGCAACAUAUAUAGUAGUAGGCAACAAGAAUACUAAAUAGGGAACAAAGAAAGUUUGCCGAGAGCUGCAUUAUUUGAUAACAAACAAAAAAAACAGCUUGAGAUUACAAAUUAGCUUUGGUAAUGAAAUACAACAGUUGUCUCUCUCUCUUUUACAACAAACAGAAGAACGUUAAAGAGACCAAAAGUGAAAAUGGCUUCAUUCACUAAAACUGGGCACAUUGCUACAUUCUUUUUCUUCCUUUUUACAACG